GAACGCUGGCGGCGUGCCUAAUACAUGCAAGUCGAGCGAACAGACGAGGAGCUUGCUCCUCUGACGUUAGCGGCGGACGGGUGAGUAACACGUGGAUAACCUACCUAUAAGACUGGGAUAACUUCGGGAAACCGGAGCUAAUACCGGAUAAUAUAUUGAACCGCAUGGUUCAAUAGUGAAAGACGGUUUUGCUGUCACUUAUAGAUGGAUCCGCGCCGCAUUAGCUAGUUGGUAAGGUAACGGCUUACCAAGGCGACGAUGCGUAGCCGACCUGAGAGGGUGAUCGGCCACACUGGAACUGAGACACGGUCCAGACUCCUACGGGAGGCAGCAGUAGGGAAUCUUCCGCAAUGGGCGAAAGCCUGACGGAGCAACGCCGCGUGAGUGAUGAAGGUCUUCGGAUCGUAAAACUCUGUUAUUAGGGAAGAACAAAUGUGUAAGUACUAUGCACGCCUUGACGGUACCUAAUCAGAAAGCCACGGCUAACUACGUG
rnacentral:rRNA from 1 species